rnacentral:rRNA from 1 species
UGGGGAAUUUUGGGCAAUGGGCGAAAGCCUGACCCAGCAACGCCGCGUGAAGGAUGAAAUCCCUCUGGGAUGUAAACUUCGAAAGUCGGGAAAGAAAUCGCCAUGGUUAAUAACCGUGGUGGAUGACGGUACCCGACGUAAGCCCCGGCUAACUACGUGCCAGCAGCCGCGGUAAUACGUAGGGGGCAAGCGUUGUUCGGAAUUACUGGGCGUAAAGGGCGCGUAGGCGGCAUGGCAAGUCGGGAGUGAAAGCCCGGGGCUCAACCCCGGAACUGCUUUCGAAACUGCCAAGCUAGAGUACGGAAGGGGCAACUGGAAUUCCCAGUGUAGCGGUGAAAUGCGUAGAUAUUGGGAAGAACACCGGAGGCGAAGGCGGGUUGCUGGGCCGAUACUGACGCUGAGGCGCGAAAGCCAGGGGAGCAAACGGG